GUCAAACGAUGUAAGGAUGACGGCGGAUACCUAGGCACCCAGAGACGAUGAAGGGCGUGGCAACCGACGAAAUGCUUCGAGGAGCUGGUAACAAGCGUUGAUUCGGAGAUUCCCCAAUGGGACAACCUCAUGGACUCUCCUUUGAAUUCAUAGAAGGAAGAGAGAGAACCCGGUGAAUUGAAACAUCUUAGUAGCCGGAGGAGAAGAAAGCAACAGCGAUUCCCUUAGUAGCGGCGAGCGAAGCGGGAACAGCCUAAACCGACCUCCCGUCGUGGAGGUCGGGGUAGUGGGAAGAGGACGGUCAUGGUUUCCCAUGAAUGACGGAUCGAUCCACGAAAGUGGAUAGGAUUCAACUCGUGUAAGAGAAGCAGCUGAAUCCUGCACCAUAGAUGGUGAAAGUCCAGUAUCUGAAAGAUGAGUGGCAUGGGAACAAUGAAACAAAAAACCGGACCUUUAUCCCGAGUAGCAUGGGGCACGUGAAAUCCCGUGUGAAUCGGCGAGGACCACCUCGUAAGGCUAAAUACUCCUGGGUGACCGAUAGUGAAGAAGUACCGCGAGGGAAAGGUGAAAAAGAACCCCAUACAGGGGAGUGAAAAAGAACAUGAAACCGUCAUCCGACAAGCGGUGGGAGGAUGAAAAAUCUGACCGUGUGCCUGUGGAAGAAUGAGCCGGCGACUUAUAGGAGGUGGCAAGGUUAAGGAGAGUCUCCGAAGCCGGAGCGAAGGCGAGUCUGAAUAGGGCAUCGACAGGGUCACCUCCUAUGGACCCGAACCCGGGUGAUCUAACCAUGGCCAGGAUGAAGCUUGGGUAACACCAAGUGGAAGUCCGAACUCAUCGAUGUUGAAAAAUCGUGGGAUGAGUUGUGGUUAGGGGUGAAAUGCCAAUCGAACUCGGAGCUAGCUGGUUCUCCCCGAAAUGCGUUGAGGCGCAGCGCGCAACGAAAAGGUGGACUGUCUAGGGGUAAAGCACUGUUUCGGUGCGGGCUGCGAGAGCGGUACCAAAUCGUGGCAAACUAAGAAUACUAGGCAUGAAUUUCCGUUGCGCAGUGAGACGGUGGGGGAUAAGCUCCAUCGUCAAGAGGGAAACAGCCCAGAUCACCGGCUAAGGCCCCAAAAUGACCGCCAAGUGGAAAAGGAUGUGACAAUGCUGAAACAGCCAGGAGGUUUGCUUAGAAGCAGCCACCCUUUAAAGAGUGCGUAAUAGCUCACUGGUAGAGCGUUGUUGCGCCGAAAAUGGACGGGACUAAGCGGUCUGCCGAAGCUGUGGGACAUCGAAUCGAUGUCGGUAGGGGAGCGUUCCGCCCUGGGUGAAGCAUCAACGUCAGUUGGUGUGGACAGAGCGGAAGUGAGAAUGUCGGCUUGAGUAACGCAAACAUUGGUGAGAAUCCAAUGCCCCGACAACCUAAGGGUUCCUUCCGUAGGCUCGUCCAGGGAGGGUGAGUCAGGACCUAAGAUCAGGCCGAAAGGCGUCGUCGAUGGAAAACAGGUUAAUAUUCCUGUACUUAUGUUCGGUCGGUACCGAGGGACGAAGAAGGCGAUGGGUGGCCAACAUUGGGUGGAGGCGAAAGCGUUCAAGGCGUUGAAGGAUGGAAGAAAAACCAUUUGGAGCCGAGACGUGAUACGACGUUGUUUUGGCUACCACCGGAGGGUGAUAGUCGAAGCAGUGUUCACCUUUCCUCGUCAAGCUUCCUAGAAAAGCUCGCACUACCAUAUCAUCGAACGUAACCUGUACCCGACACCGACACAGGUAGGUGGGUAGAGUAUACCAAGGGGCGCGAGAGAACUCUCUCCAAGGAACUCGGCAAAAUGGCCCCGUAACUUCGGGAGAAGGGGUACCCUCGAAAGAGGGUCGCAGUGACCAGGCCCAGGCGACUGUUUACCAAAAACACAGGUCUCCGCUAAGUCGUAAGACGAUCCAUGGGGGCUGACGCCUGCCCGGUGCCGGAAGGUGAAGGAAGUUGGUUAUUCUCUGAAGAAGCUGACAACCGAAGCCCCGGUGAACGGCGGCCGUAACUAUAACGGUCCUAAGGUAGCGAAAUUCCUUGUCGGGUAAGUUCCGACCCGCACGAAAGGCGUAACGAUCUGGGCACUGUCUCGGAGAGAGACUCGGUGAAAUAGACAUGUCCGUGAAGAUGCGGACUCCCUACACCUGGACAGAAAGACCCUAUGAAGCUUUACUGUAGCCUGGAGUUGGGUUUGGGCCCCUUUUGCGCAGUCUAGGUGGGAGGCGUCGAAGAUCUUCUUCCGGGAAGAUUGGAGCCAUCAGUGAGAGACCACUCUUGAGGGGCUAGAAUUCUAAUGGCGCUCCUUGAAUCAGGACGCUUGACAGUUUCAGGUGGGCAGUUUGACUGGGGCGGUCACCUCCUAAAAGGUAACGGAGGUGUGCAAAGGUUCCCUCAGGCUGGACGGAAAUCAGCCGAUGAGUGUAAAGGCAGAAGGGAGCUUGACUGCAAGACCUACAAGUCGAGCAGGGGCGAAAGCCGGCCUUAGUGAUCCGACGGUACCGAGUGGAAGGGCCGUCGCUCAACGGAUAAAAGUUACUCUAGGGAUAACAGGCUGAUCUUCCCCAAGAGUUCACAUCGACGGGAAGGUUUGGCACCUCGAUGUCGGCUCAUCGCAUCCUGGGGCGGUAGUACGUCCCAAGGGUUGGGCUGUUCGCCCAUGAAAGCGGUACGUGAGCUGGGUUCAGAACGUCGUGAGACAGUUCGGUCCAUAUCCGGUGUAGGCGGUAGAGCAUUGAGAGGAGCCUUCCAUAGUACGAGAGGACCUGGAAGGACACACCACUGGUAUACCAGUUCUUCUGCCAAGGGGACACGCUGGGUAGCUAUGUGUGGAGCGGAUAACUGCUGAAAGCAUCUAAGUAGGAAGCCCACCUCAAGAUGAGUGCUCUCAAUAAGGUCACGGCAAGAGAAGCCGUUCGAUAGGUGUUCAGUGUAAAGCCAGCGAUGGCAGUAGCUAAGACAUACUAAUAGACCAAGCGAGUUUGAC
rnacentral:rRNA from 1 species